rnacentral:rRNA from 1 species
AGCGUACGUGGUGGAUGCCUUGGCAGCUAGAGGCGAUGAAGGACGUGGUAGGCCACGAAAGGCUUCGGGGAGCAGUCAAACAUGCUUUGAUCCGGAGGUAUCCGAAUGGGGAAACCCACCCAGUUUACUGGGUACCUUGCACUGAAUACAUAGGUGUAAGGGGCGAACGCGGAGAACUGAAACAUCUAAGUACCCGCAGGAAAAGAAAUCAACCGAGAUUCCCAAAGUAGCGGCGAGCGAAAUGGGAUUAGCCCUUAAGUUACAGUGGAUUUAGCAGAACGCUCUGGAAAGUGCGGCAAUAGAGGGUGAUAGCCCCGUAUGCGAAAGGUCCAUUGUAGUGAAAUCGAGUAGGUCGGGACACGUGAAAUCCUGACUGAACAUGGGGGGACCAUCCUCCAAGGCUAAAUACUCCUAGCUGACCGAUAGUGAACUAGUACCGUGAGGGAAAGGCGAAAAGAACCCCGGUGAGGGGAGUGAAAUAGAUCCUGAAACCGCGUACGUACAAGCAGUAGGAGCCUCUUCGUGGGGUGACUGCGUACCUUUUGUAUAAUGGGUCAGCGAGUUAUUGUCAGUAGCAAGGUUAACCGUUUAGGGGAGCCGUAGGGAAACCGAGUCUUAAUAGGGCGUUUUAGUUGCUGGUAAUAGACCCGAAACCGGGCGAUCUAGCCAUGGCCAGGUUGAAGGUGCCGUAACAGGCACUGGAGGACCGAACCCACUAACGUUGAAAAGUUAGGGGAUGAGCUGUGGAUCGGAGUGAAAGGCUAAUCAAGCUCGGAGAUAGCUGGUUCUCCUCGAAAUCUAUUUAGGUAGAGCGUCGUGUCUUACCCUGGGGGGUAGAGCACUGUUUGGGCUAGGGGGUCAUCCCGACUUACCAACCCCAUGCAAACUCCGAAUACCCAGGAGUACAAUCACGGCAGACAGACGGCGGGUGCUAACGUCCGUCGUCAAGAGGGAAACAACCCAGACCGCCAGCUAAGGUCCCUAAUACCAGUUAAGUGGGAAACGAUGUGGGAAGGCUCAGACAGCUAGGAGGUUGGCUUAGAAGCAGCCAUCCUUUAAAGAAAGCGUAAUAGCUCACUAGUCGAGUCGGCCUGCGCGGAAGAUAUAACGGGGCUAAACUGAUAACCGAAGCUGUGGAUGCGCAUUUAUGCGCAUGGUAGAGGAGCGUUCUGUAAGCCGUUGAAGGUGAAUCGUAAGGUUUGCUGGAGGUAUCAGAAGUGCGAAUGCUGACAUGAGUAACGAUAAGGGGGGUGAAAAACCCCCCCGCCGAAAGAUCAAGGUUUCCUGUCCAACGUUAAUCGGGACAGGGUGAGUCGGCACCUAAGGCGAGGGCGAAGGCCGUAGUCGAUGGAAAAUCGGUUAAAAUUCCGAUACCGAUUCUUACUGCGAUGGAGGGACGGAGCAGGCUAGGCUAGCACGGCGUUGGUAGUCCGUGUUUAAGCGUGUAGGUAGGGGGAUUAGGUAAAUCCGGUUCCUCGUUAAUCUGAGACGUGAUGACGAUCUCUUGGGGCGACCCUUGAGAGAAGUAGUUGAUGCCAUACUUCCAGGAAAAUCUUCUAAGCUUCAGGUAAGAAUUGACCGUACUGUAAACCGACACAGGUGAUCAGGUAGAGAAUACCAAGGCGCUUGAGAGAACUUGGGUGAAGGAACUAGGCAAAAUGGUACCGUAACUUCGGGAGAAGGUACGCUCUCUUUGGUGAUCGGACUUGCUCCGUAAGCUGAGGAGAGUCGAAGUGACCAGGUGGCUGCAACUGUUUAUUAAAAACAUAGCACUCUGCAAACUCGUGAGAGGAAGUAUAGGGUGUGACGCCUGCCCGGUGCCGGAAGGUUAAUUGAUGGGGUUAUCUUCGGAGAAGCUCUUGAUCGAAGCCCCGGUAAACGGCGGCCGUAACUAUAACGGUCCUAAGGUAGCGAAAUUCCUUGUCGGGUAAGUUCCGACCUGCACGAAUGGCGUAACGAUGGCGGCGCUGUCUCCACCCAAGACUCAGUGAAAUUGAAAUCGCUGUUAAGAUGCAGUGUACCCGCGGCUAGACGGAAAGACCCCGUGAACCUUUACUAUAGCUUCACACUGGACUUUGACCUUACUUGUGUAGGAUAG